rnacentral:rRNA from 1 species
CAUUACCGAGUUUACAACUCCCAAACCCCUGUGAACAUACCUAUACGUUGCCUCGGCGGAUCAGCCCGCGCCCCGUAAAACGGGACGGCCCGCCCGAGGACCCCUAAACUCUGUUUUUAGUGGAACUUCUGAGUAAAACAAACAAAUAAAUCAAAACUUUCAACAACGGAUCUCUUGGUUCUGGCAUCGAUGAAGAACGCAGCAAAAUGCGAUAAGUAAUGUGAAUUGCAGAAUUCAGUGAAUCAUCGAAUCUUUGAACGCACAUUGCGCCCGCCAGUAUUCUGGCGGGCAUGCCUGUUCGAGCGUCAUUUCAACCCUCAAGCUCAGCUUGGUGUUGGGACUCGCGGUAACCCGCGUUCCCCAAAUCGAUUGGCGGUCACGUCGAGCUUCCAUAGCGUAGUAAUCAUACACCUCGUUACUGGUAAUCGUCGCGGCCACGCCGUAAAACCCCAACUUCUGAAUGUUGACCUCGGAUCAGGUAGGAAUACCCGCUGAACUUAAGCAUAUCAAUAAGCGGAGGAAAAGAAACCAACAGGGAUUGCCCUAGUAACGGCGAGUGAAGCGGCAACAGCUCAAAUUUGAAAUCUGGCUCUCGGGCCCGAGUUGUAAUUUGUAGAGGAUGCUUUUGAUGCGGUGCCUUCCGAGUUCCCUGGAACGGGACGCCAUAGAGGGUGAGAGCCCCGUCUGGUUGGAUGCCAAAUCUCUGUAAAGCUCCUUCGACGAGUCGAGUAGUUUGGGAAUGCUGCUCUAAAUGGGAGGUAUAUGUCUUCUAAAGCUAAAUACCGGCCAGAGACCGAUAGCGCACAAGUAGAGUGAUCGAAAGAUGAAAAGCACUUUGAAAAGAGAGUUAAAAAGUACGUGAAAUUGUUGAAAGGGAAGCGUUUAUGACCAGACUUGGGCUUGGUUAAUCAUCUGGGGUUCUCCCCAGUGCACUUUUCCAGUCCAGGCCAGCAUCAGUUUUCGCCGGGGGAUAAAGGCUUCGGGAAUGUGGCUCUCUCCGGGGAGUGUUAUAGCCCGUUGCGUAAUACCCUGGCGGGGACUGAGGUUCGCGCAUCUGCAAG